rnacentral:misc_RNA from 1 species
GAAAUGCGAUAAGUAAUGUGAAUUGCAGAAUUCAGUGAAUCAUCGAAUCUUUGAACGCACAUUGCGCCCCUCGGCAUUCCGGGGGGCAUGCCUGUUCGAGCGUCAUUACAACCAUCAAGCACAGCUUGGCAAUGGACGACGUCUCCCCGCUCACGGGGAGGCGCGCCCCGAAACCGUCGGCAGAGUCACGCGGACCCGCCGGGCGUAGCAGAAAAGGAAGGCACACGCCGGCCCCUGACGUCCAAUGCGACCGCGCCUCGCGCCGUAAAAACAAUGGCCCGCAAGGGCCGUCUCCACAAGGUUGACCUCGGAUCAGGUAGGGAUACCCGCUGAACUUAA